GACCGCGUAGCUCAGUUGGCAGAGCAUUGGUCUGGUAUUCCAAAGGUUGUAGGUUCGAUUCCCACUGUGGCCA
rnacentral:tRNA from 1 species